CCCUUAGAUGUUCUGGGCCACACACGCGCUACACUGGCAGGUUCAUCGAGCUUCAUGCCCUGAUCUGAGAAGAACGGGAAAUCUUUGAACACCUGCCGUGCUUGGGAUAGAUGUUUGCAAUUAUUCAUCUUCAACGAGGAUUGCCUUGUAAGCGCACGUCAUCAGCGUGCAUUGAAUACGACCCUGUAUUCUGUACACACCGCCCGUCGCUCCUACCGAUUGAAGUUUUCGGUGAAUUUACUGGAGAUCCCUUUUGAAGGUGGUUCGCCACUGGAAGAAGUAUUCAAAAGUAAAUGAAUCGAAUGCUUUAGAGGAAGGAGAAGUCGUAACA
rnacentral:rRNA from 1 species